rnacentral:rRNA from 1 species
GACCAUCUAGCGACCUCCACAGUGACGAACGAGAUAUGUUGUCAGCUCUUAUCGGAUUGAGCUGGCUUUUGGACCGUUCCAGGAAACAGCUCUGGCAUAUAGACCGUACCCGAAACCGACACAGGUGGACUGGUAGAGUAUACCAAGGCGCUUGAGAGAACGAUGCUGAAGGAACUAGGCAAAUUGCUCGUGUAACUUCGGAAGAAACGAGACCCGUUGGUGGGCAACCAUCGGCGGGUGGCACAGACCAGGGGGUAGCGACUGUUUANNAAAAACACAGGACUCUGCGAAAUCGAAAGAUGACGUAUAGGGUCUGACGCCUGCCCGGUGCCGGAAGGUUAAGAGGAGAUGUGCAAGCGUCGAAUCGAAGCCCCGGUAAACGGCGGCCGUAACNAUAACGGUCCUAAGGUAGCGAAAUUCCUUGUCGGGUAAGUUCCGACCUGCACGAAUGGCGUAAUGAUGGCGGCGCUGUCUCCACCCGAGACUCAGUGAAAUUGAAAUCGCUGUGAAGAUGCAGUGUAUCCGCGGCUAGACGGAAAGACCCCGUGAACCUUUACUGUAGCUUUGCACUGGACUUUGAACCUGUUUGUGUAGGAUAGGUGGGAGGCUAUGAAGCGUGGACGCUAGUUCAUGUGGAGCCGACCUUGAAAUACCACCCUGACAUGUUUGAGGUUCUAACUCUGGCCCGUAAUCCGGGUUGAGGACAGUGUAUGGUGGGCAGUUUGACUGGGGCGGUCUCCUCCAAAAGAGUAACGGAGGAGUACGAAGGUGCGCUCGGCGUGGUCGGAAAUCACGCUAAGAGUAUAAAGGCAAAAGCGCGCUUGACUGCGAGACAGACAAGUCGAGCAGGUACGAAAGUAGGUCUUAGUGAUCCGGUGGUUCUGAAUGGAAGGGCCAUCGCUCAACGGAUAAAAGGUACUCCGGGGAUAACAGGCUGAUACCGCCCAAGAGUUCAUAUCGACGGCGGUGUUUGGCACCUCGAUGUCGGCUCAUCACAUCCUGGGGCUGAAGCUGGUCCCAAGGGUAUGGCUGUUCGCCAUUUAAAGUGGUACGUGAGCUGGGUUUAGAACGUCGUGAGACAGUUCGGUCCCUAUCUGCCGUGGACGUUUGAGAUUUGAGAGGGGCUGCUCCUAGUACGAGAGGACCGGAGUGGACGAACCUCUGGUGUUCCGGUUGUCACGCCAGUGGCAUUGCCGGGUAGCUAUGUUCGGAA